GAUGAACGCUGGCGGCGUGCCUAAUACAUGCAAGUCGAGCGAACAGACGAGGAGCUUGCUCCUCUGACGUUAGCGGCGGACGGGUGAGUAACACGUGGAUAACCUACCUAUAAGACUGGGAUAACUUCGGGAAACCGGAGCUAAUACCGGAUAACAUGUUGAACCGCAUGGUUCAACAGUGAAAGACGGUUUUGCUGUCACUUAUAGAUGGAUCCGCGUCGCAUUAGCUAGUUGGUAAGGUAACGGCUUACCAAGGCAACGAUGCGUAGCCGACCUGAGAGGGUGAUCGGCCACACUGGAACUGAGACACGGUCCAGACUCCUACGGGAGGCAACAGUAGGGAAUCUUCCGCAAUGGGCGAAAGCCUGACGGAGCAACGCCGCGUGAGUGAAGAAGGUCUUCGGAUCGUAAAACUCUGUUAUUAGGGAAGAACAAAUGUGUAAGUAACUAUGCACGUCUUGACGGUACCUAAUCAGAAAGCCACGGCUAACUACGUG
rnacentral:rRNA from 1 species